rnacentral:rRNA from 1 species
ACGCUCGACACCUACUGGAGGCAGCAGUAGGGAAUCUUCCACAAUGGGCGCAAGCCUGAUGGAGCAACACCGCGUGAGUGAAGAAGGGUUUCGGCUCGUAAAGCUCUGUUGUUGGAGAAGAACGUGCGUGAGAGUAACUGUUCACGCAGUGACGGUAUCCAACCAGAAAGUCACGGCUAACUACGUGCCAGCACGCCGACGGUAAUCGUGAGGCGGGCGUGGACGAAGGC